UGGGGAAUUUUCCGCAAUGGGCGAAAGCCUGACGGAGCAACGCCGCGUGGAUGAUGAAGUCUUUCGGGAUG
rnacentral:rRNA from 1 species